ACGGGUGAGUAAUGCUUAUCUAACUUGCCAAUUAGUGGGGGAUAACCAUGGGAAACCAUGGCUAAUACCGCAUUUGUUACUUCGGUAAUGAAAGAGAGUCGCAAGAUUCUCGCUAAUUGAUAGGGAUAAGUCGUAUUAGUUAGUUGGUGGGGUAAUGGCCUACCAAGACCAUGAUGCGUAGCCAGUCUGAGAGGAUGAAUGGCCACAAGGGAACUGAGACACGGUCCCUACUCCUACGGGAGGCAGCAGUGAGGAAUUUUCGGCAAUGGGGGCAACCCUGACCGAGCAAUACUACGUGAAGGAGGAAGGUCUACGGAUUGUAAACUUCUGUUAGCAGGGAAGAAGGGCUGGACGUGAGUUCAGUUUUGACGGUACCUGCAGAGAAAGCCACGACUAACUACGUGCCAGCAGUCGCGGUAAGACGUAGGUGGCGAACGUUAUCCGGAAUUAUUGGGCGUAAAGGGUGCGUAGAUGGUGUAAUAAGUUAUCAGCGGUAAAUCGGGGCUCAACCUCGUGGAAGUCGGUAAUACUGUUAUACUUGAGUGCAGGAGAGGUUAACGGAACUCCAUGUGGAGCGGUAAAAUGCGUAGAUAUAUGGAAGAACACCAAUAACGGCGAAGGCAGUUAACUAUUCUGUUACUGACAUUGAGGCACGAAAGCGUGGGGAGCAAAAAGGAUUAGAUACCCUUGUAGUCCACGCCCUAAACGAUGAGUGCUAGAUAUUGGGAACUUGAUUCUCAGUGUCGCUAGUUAACACGGUAAGCACUCCGCCUGGGUAGUACGGUCGCAAGGCUGAAACUCAAAGGAAUUGACGGGGACUCGCACAAGCAGUGGAGCAUGUGGUUUAAUCCGAUACAACGCGUAGAACCUUACCAAGGCUUGACAUGUUCGGCAAAGUUAUUGAAAGGUAAUGGAGGUUAUCCGGACACAGGUGCUGCAUGGCCGUCGUCAGUUCGUGCCGUGAGGUGUAUGGUUAAGUCCUAUAACGAACGUAACCCUUAGGUUUAGUUGCCAGCAUUCAGUUGGGGACUCUAGACCGACUGCCCGAGUAAUCGGGAGGAAGGAAAGGAUGACGUCUGGUCGUC
rnacentral:rRNA from 1 species